GACGAACGCUGGCGGCGUGCUUAACACAUGCAAGUCGAACGGUGAACGAGGGAGCUUGCUCCCUCCGGAUCAGUGGCGAACGGGUGAGUAACACGUGAGCAAUCUGCCCCGAACUCUGGGAUAAGCGUUGGAAACGACGUCUAAUACCGGAUACGACGCGGGAGGGCAUCCUCUCCGCGUGGAAAGAACUUCGGUUCGGGAUGAGCUCGCGGCCUAUCAGCUUGUUGGUGAGGUAACGGCGCACCAAGGCGACGACGGGUAGCCGGCCUGAGAGGGUGACCGGCCACACUGGGACUGAGACACGGCCCAGACUCCUACGGGAGGCAGCAGUGGGGAAUAUUGUACAAUGGGCGCAAGCCUGAUGCAGCAACGCCGCGUGAGGGACGACGGCCUUCGGGUUGUAAACCUCUUUUAGCAGGGAAGAAGCGAAAGUGACGGUACCUGCAGAAAAAGCACCGGCUAACUACGUG
rnacentral:rRNA from 1 species